rnacentral:rRNA from 1 species
UACAGAGGUCCCAAGCGUUGUUCGGACUCACUGGGCGUAAAGGGUGCGUAGGUGGCCGGUUAAGUCUGACGUGAAAUCUCCGAGCCUAACUCGGAAACUGCAUCGGAAACUAUCCGGCUCGAGGGUUGGAGGGGGGACUGGAAUACUUGGUGUAGCAGUGAAAUGCGUAGAUAUCAAGUGGAACACCAGUGGCGAAGGCGAGUCCCUGGACAACUCCUGACACUGAGGCACGAAAGCUAGGGGAGCAAACAGG